rnacentral:rRNA from 1 species
CCUAAGGCUAAAUACCGCCGUGAGACCGAUAGCAAACAAGUACCGUGAGGGAAAGUUGCAAAGAACUUUGAAGAGAGAGUUCAAGAGUACGUGAAACUGCUCAGAGGUAAACGGGUGGGCCCUCGAAAUCCUGUGGGGAGAGGAUUCAGUCUGGCGUCCCGGAGGCGCGUGGCCGGAAUUCAGUGAUGGCAUCCCGGGGAUCCGGGGCCGUCCGGCCGCGCCGUUUCGGGCUUCGUCCGACGCAUUUGACUCUCCCCCGAAAGGACGCAGCAACCGGUCGGGCAAUGCAAGCACGCCGGCCUGAAGGUCGGGGAAAGGCAGGUGGCCGGUGGGACGCGGGUUCUCCGCGGCUCCGCCGGUUGUUAGCCGCCCCGUCAGUGGCCCGUCGCCCGACCGAGGUAAAAGGGUUCCCUCGGGGACCCGCUUCCGCCACCUCCCGCAAUCGGGAUGGCGGACUGAUCGCCGCCGGCGUCGGGAAGCCGCCUGGUCGCACCCCGAGUAGGGUGGACCGGAUGCCGGCCCGCGUCGGAAGCGGCGGCGGACCCCUCGGUGGUCGGAGGCUCGCUGCGAGUAGGUCGGUCACCCACCCGACCCGUCUUGAAACACGGACCAAGGAGUCUAACAUGUGCGCGAGUCAUUGGGACUUGAACAGGCCCAGAGGCGCAAUGAAAGCAAAGGCCGGCGUCACGCCGGCCGAGUUGGGAUCCUUCCCCCGAGCGGGGGAGGCGCACCGACGACCCGUCCCGUCCGGCUCGCCGGUGGGGCGGAGUUCGAGCGCACACGUUGGGACCCGAAAGAUGGUGACCUAUGCCCGGGCAGGACGACGCCAGAGGAAACUCUGGUGGAGGUCC